rnacentral:pre_miRNA from 1 species
UACAAUAUUUUGACUCUUUGUCUUAUUAGAAAUUUUUUGCAAUUAAUUUUUUGUCGUUACUGGAUGAUAAAAUGUGAAUAAUACGUUAUACGUGACUAAUUUUUUAAAGUUUUUUCUCAAAAUUUUUAAAUAAGACAAAUAAUUAAACGUUGGACACGAAAA